CACAAACUCUAUGAGCUGGUGUUGCAGGCACUGCCUGAUGAGCUCAGGGACGGCAUAGCUCCCAUCGAAAUGGCUGAAACUGCCCCAUCAAGUGGAUCACACAAGAACGGUGUAGAAGUUGUUAAGCAACAUGCAGAAGUUUCUGUAGUACCAGCUACUGUGACUUCAUCACAAACAUCUCAAGAAAAUGUAAGGAAGGUAAGAUUCAGUUUUCCAUGAUCAAUGUUGCUCUCUCUCUCUCUCUCUCUUUUUCUCUCCUUUUCCCCUUUCUCUCUCUAGUUCUCCCUCUCAUAUU